rnacentral:lncRNA from 1 species
GUUACAUUUUUACUGGUGGAUGUAUCAUCCUGUCCUUUGGAGAUCCUUUCAUUACAAUGUGACUGCUGUUUUUGGAGGGAGACUAUUCAACACGGACUGCUUGCCAUGCUGUCUGGAUGCCAGGACCCAGCCAGCCCGCCUCUGUUCCCAGCAGGCUGGUCUCACCCACCCCUCAUUUCUACUCUGCACUGGCAGGAGGGGAGCCUGCCUCUGGAGGGAGUGCAAUGGAGUGUACUGGCUCACCUCUCGGUGCUUUGGAACUAAUAGCAUCAUGAAGCCAGAGCCAGCCUGAGAUUGUAAGAAUCUUUAAAGAAAACACUGUCAUUUCAUUUCUUCAACCUUGGUGCUUUGGAAUACAUUUUUAUUGCAUCACCAUCUCAUUUUGCAACAGAGUAUCAUUUUCAAGCAGGAUUUGUUCCUGUCACGUGAAAUGAUCAAUUUGUCCAUUUAGAACUGCAAAUCUAGUUAUUCAUGCUCUGGGUGUUCCCGGACCCACCUGCCCACCAGGCCUGCAGCCGCUUUCGCACUGAAGCUCAAUGCAGAGCAGCACUGCCUUGGCACUGGCCCCAUCUCCCAGCUCUGGGGGCUGUCUCAUGCUCCCCCAAAGAUAAGGGUCAUACAGGAGAGCUUCCGGAAGGGCAGCUGCAGCCCCAACCAGAUUCAAAGGGACCCAUGGUUCUGACUCCUCCCACCACUUCCCAGCUCAGAGGGAGCAGAGCCCUGGGUCCCUGUUUUGUGGGCGGAGGGACUGACUUCCCAGGGCUGCCUGGAUGGACCAGGUAG